rnacentral:rRNA from 1 species
UGAGUAACACGUGAGUAACCUGCCCUUGACUCUGGGAUAAGCGUUGGAAACGACGUCUAAUACCGGAUACGAGCUAGGACCGCAUGGUCACUAGCUGGAAAGAAUUUUGGUCAAGGAUGGACUCGCGGCCUAUCAGCUAGUUGGUGAGGUAANGGCCCACCAAGGCGACGACGGGNNNNCNGCCUGAGAGGGUGACCGGCCACACUGGGACUGAGACACGGCCCAGACUCCUACGGGAGGCAGCAGUGGGGAAUAUUGCACAAUGGGCGCAAGCCUGAUGCAGCAACGCCGCGUGAGGGACGACGGCCUUCGGGUUGUAAACCUCUUUUAGCAGGGAAGAAGCGAAAGUGACGGUACCUGCAGAAAAAGCACCGUGCUAACUACGUGCCAGCAGCCGCGGUAAUACGUAGGGUGCAAGCGUUGUCCGGAAUUAUUGGGCGUAUAGAGCUCGUAGGCGGUUUGUCGCGUCUGCUGUGAAAAUCCGAGGCUCAACCUCGGACC